GUUUUUAUUUCCUCUAUUUUUUUAAUUAUUUCUAUUCAAAUUUUAUCGGUCUUAAUUCUCAAAAUUUGUUUACAUUUCUAUUGAUUCCUGAUUACUUGUAAUAUUAGAAAGAGACAAUUAAAUCCUAAAACUGAAAAAUUAAGUAGCACCAACUUAAUAUAAAAAAAGCAAUAGUAGGAAGGAAAAAUGUAAUUAUUUGUAGAUGUAUAUCAAGAUAAGACUCCAAUGUUGGUUUUGCAUAUAUUUCUUUUUAUCUUUAUUUUAAUUUUAUUUAUCUUUAUUAUUUAUCUACCA
rnacentral:misc_RNA from 1 species